rnacentral:rRNA from 1 species
UACAGAGGGUGCAAGCGUUAAUCGGAAUUACUGGGCGUAAAGCGUGCGCAGGCGGUUCUGAAAGUCAGCUGUGAAAGCCCCGGGCUUAACCUGGGAAUUGCGGUUGAAACUACAGGGCUAGAAUCUGGCAGAGGGGGGUGGAAUUCCACGUGUAGCAGUGAAAUGCGUAGAGAUGUGGAGGAACACCGAUGGCGAAGGCAGCCCCCUGGGCUGAGAUUGACGCUCAGGCACGAAAGCGUGGGGAGCAAACAGG